rnacentral:sRNA from 1 species
CAAAUUCACAGUUUCACAAUGCCAAUGUGCGCUAGGCCAUACCAUCGCAGAGCAAAAAGUAACGACAAGCUACGGAUAAUGGCUCGGGCGUCUUGCUGCAUCGAGAAUUCUACGGUACUUACGACGGUUCUAUUUUGUAGUAUGGCGUGAGUUCCUGUAUUACUAGAGCUCGCCAAGGAACCGUUCUGGUAUGUUACUGUUGGCGCGCUGAGACGAUCCAAACUGUGGAGAUUUUCUGCAAAUAUUGAGUGAACUGGAUGCCUUAAAUUACUGGUCAGUGGGGCGGAUCGUCAAGGAUUAGUGAAGGAGUAAACGGCUGGCAUCAUAGUAUUCUGUGCUCUCCGUGAGAUGCAUCGAAUAUAAGUACUUGUGUAUACAGAUUAUUGAAGACCAACAUCACGAUAUCCACAGUUUCGGACUAGCCAUGGGAUGGAUGGGUACUAGUAAUUCUUGAUGUAGCCCUUGGAAUCAUCCGGCCCAUGACCAGUCUCAGUUCCCUUCAGGCGGAUAUUCUAUACUCGAAGCAACAGACUUGAGGGGGGGUGGGAUGUUCAAAAAUAGUGGCUCUGACAACCAACCUAUGGAAGCCGGUGCGUUCAAUGCUGUGUAUUCGGCGAUUCCCUGCGUCCUUCCACAGCGAAGGUGUAGCAAAAUCCAAGAUGGUUUCUUAAGAUGUUCAACAGUGGUUACACGGGAAUUCCAUCAGCUUAGGUGGUAACUUGAUCAACCAAGGACGUGCGUUCUCGCUGGCGGGUCGUGCGCAAAUGAUAAUGAUAGUUAGUAUACGGUU